rnacentral:rRNA from 1 species
GACGGAGGAGGCUAGCGUUGUUCGGAAUUACUGGGCGUAAAGCGCGCGCGGGCGGUUUGGCAAGUCAGGGGUGAAAGCCCGGGGCUCAACCUCGGAACGGCCUUUGAGACUGCCAGACUUGAGACCGGAAGAGGAGAGUGGAAUUCCCAGUGUAGAGGUGAAAUUCGUAGAUAUUGGGAAGAACACCAGUGGCGAAGGCGGCUCUCUGGUCCGGUACUGACGCUGAGGCGCGAAAGCGUGGGGAGCAAACAGG